UAGCCGUAAACGAUACUCGCUAGGUGUCGGCCACGGUGCGACCGUUGUCGGUGCCGUAGGGAAGCCGUGAAGCGAGCCACCUGGGAAGUACGGCCGCAAGGCUGAAACUUAAAGGAAUUGGCGGGGGAGGCACAACAACGGGUGGAGCUUGCGGUUUAAUUGGAUUCAACGCCGGGAAGCUUACCGGAUAAGACAGCGGAAUGAUUGCCGGGCUGAAGACUCUGCAUGACCAGCUGAGAGGUGGUGCAUGGCGUAGUCGUGU
rnacentral:rRNA from 1 species